AGUGAACGCUGGCGGUAGGCCUAACACAUGCAAGUCGAACGGCAGCACAGUAAGAGCUUGCUCUUACGGGUGGCGAGUGGCGGAGGGGUGAGGAAUCCAUCGGAAUCUACUUUUUCGUGGGGGAUAACGUAGGGAAACUUACGCUAAUACCGUAUACGACCUACGGGUGAAAGCAGGGGAUCUUCGGAUCUUGCGCGAUUGAAUGAGCCGAUGUCGGAUUAGCUAGUUGGCGGGGUAAAGGCCCACCAAGGCGACGAUCCGUAGCUGGUCUGAGAGGAUGAUCAGCCACACUGGAACUGAGACACGGUCCAGACUCCUACGGGAGGCAGCAGUGGGGAAUAUUGGACAAUGGGCGCAAGCCUGAUCCAGCCAUACCGCGUGGGUGAAGAAGGCCUUCGGGUUGUAAAGCCCUUUUGUUGGGAAAGAAGAGCAGCAGGUUAAUACCCCGCUGUUCUGACGGUACCCAAAGAAGAAGCACCGGCUAACUUCGUG
rnacentral:rRNA from 1 species